GCACCUCAGGAAGUCUUCCAUCAUCUCCAUAUCACCAUUGGCCAACCAGAGCUCAAAUCAGUCCAGCAGUUUAAUUACCUAGGUAGCCUCAUCUCCUCUGAUGGUAAGAUUGACAAAGAGAUAAACAACAGGUUAGCAAAGGCAUAUAGUGCUUUCGGAAAACUCCAUAAAAGAGCAGACGACUGAACUCCAG